rnacentral:rRNA from 1 species
AUUGAACGCUGGCGGCAGGCCUAACACAUGCAAGUCGAGCGGAGCGGGGGAGGGGGGAGUAAUGCCUAGGAAUCGGCCUGGUACUGGGGGAUAAGGUUCGGAAACGGGAGCUAAUACCGCAUCCUCUCGACAUAGCCUAGGUCGGAGUAGCUAGUUGGUGGGGUAAAGGCCAACAAGGGCGACGAUCCGUAACCGGUCUGAGAGGAUGAUCAGCCACACUGGAACGGAGACACGGUCCAGACUCCUACGGGAGGCAGCAGUGGGGAAUAUUGGACAAUGGGCGAAAGCCUGAUCCAGCCAUGCCGCGUGUGUGAAGAAGGUCUUCGGAUUGUAAAGCACUUUAAGUUGGGAGGCGUUACCAACAGAAUAAGCACCGGCUAACUUCGUGCCAGCAGCCGCGGUAAUAC